UGACAUGUCUCCUAUUUUUAGGGA
rnacentral:miRNA from 1 species